rnacentral:lncRNA from 1 species
GUCUGAAGGAUUCCCUGUAAUAGAGACCAGCACCCUGACUGAGGAAGGUGUUAUUAAAGUUAAAACAGAGGCUUGCGAUAGGCUUUUGGCUCAUCGAGUGGAAACCAAAAUGAAGGGAAAUAAAGUGAAUGAGGUGCUGAAUAGACUGCACCUGGCUAUCCCAACCAGGAGGGACGAUAAGGUAAGACGGCCCCUGGGACAGCCGUGGGCUCACAGUACUGUCAGCAGGUGCUGUCUGCGUGCCUUUUCCAGAAGCCUCCCAUCCAGCUUCACACACUCGCAGGUGGAUAUUGUGGGUGGGCCUCAGUUUCACCUUCUUGCUUACAUAAAGGAUCGAGAAGGUGAAGAAAGUGCAGAACGCCACAUGGCACCC